UACGUAGGGUGCGAGCGUUGCCCGGAUUUAUUGGGCGUAAAGAGCGUGUAGGCGGUUUGGUAGGUCCGCUGUGAAAACUCGAGGCUCAACCUCGAGACGCCGGUGGAAACCAUCAGACUAGAGUCCGGAAGAGGAGAGUGGAAGUUCCUGGUGUAGCGGUGAAAUGCGCAGAUAUCAGGAAGAACACCCGUGGCUAAGGCGGCUCUCUAGUACGGUACUGACGCUGAGACGCGAAAGCGUGGGGAGCGAACAGG
rnacentral:rRNA from 1 species